rnacentral:rRNA from 1 species
GGUGAACGAUGGCGGCGUGCUUAAGACAUGCAAGUCGAACGGCAGUCUUCGGACUGUAGUGGCGCACGGGUGAGUAACGCGUAACUGACCUACCCCCAAGUCGCGGAUAACGAUUCGAAAGAAUCGCUAAUACGUGAUGUGCUGUCAGAUUGUGUUCUGCCAGUAAAGAUUGAUUGCUUUGGGAUGGGGGUGCGUUCCAUCAGCUAGUCGGUGGGGUAAAGGCGCACCAAGGCGACGACGGAUAGCCGGCCUGAGAGGGUGGCCGGCCACAGGGGCACUGAGACACGGGUCCCACUCCUACGGGAGGCAGCAGUUAGGAAUCUUCCACAAUGGGCGAAAGCCUGAUGGAGCGACGCCGCGUGAGGGAUGAAGGUCUUCGGAUCGUAAGCCUCUGAAUCAGGGACGAAAGACACUUCGGUGGGAUGACGGUACCUGAGUAAUAGCACCGGCUAACUCCGUGCCAGCCGCCGCGGUAAAAC